CUUGACUCUAGUCCGACUUUGUGA
rnacentral:siRNA from 1 species